UACGGGGGGGGCAAGCGUUGUUCGGAAUUACUGGGCGUAAAGGGCUCGUAGGUGGCCAACUAGGUCAGACGUGAAAUCCCUCGGCUUAACCGGGGAACUGCGUCUGAUACUGGAUGGCUUGAGUUCGGGAGAGGGAUGCGGAAUUCCAGGUGUAGCGGUGAAAUGCGUAGAUAUCUGGAGGAACACCGGUGGCGAAGGCGGCAUCCUGGACCGACACUGACACUGAGGAGCGAAAGCCAGGGGAGCAAACGGG
rnacentral:rRNA from 1 species